GGCAGCAACAGCCUGGACAGGUCCUUAUGGCACCGCCACCGCAGUUCAGGCCUUCGGGUGGACCCCCGCCUCCUUAUUCACAUCCUCCGCCAAACAUGGUGAGGCCACCGCCACCUCCAGCAGGUAUGAGUAUGGCACCGCCUCCUAUGUGGAGACCACCACCGCCGCCCCAAUUCAUGGGAAGACCAAUGGCGCCAAAUCAGAUGCCAAUGCCGCCACCACCACCGCCCAAUUCAGC
rnacentral:misc_RNA from 1 species